ACAAAGGUUCUGGAUCUCUGAGUCCCCAGAGUUAGAAGCUGGCUCUGCAGCUCCUGAUCCCCCUCUGAGGAGUCCUCAGGAACCCCAAAGACCCCAGCUCCUCUGGUGAUCCUGGGUUGCAGCCUCCACCCCAGCUCUCCUCCAGGAAAUGGAAGAGAUCCCUGCUCCCUUUGUAGAUGUCACAGAGUGGACUUGCCAACCUGGCAGGGAGGUCUUCUAGCUACUUCUACCAGUGUGGAAACACAGUCUCAGAGAGGGAGAGUUUCUUGCCCAAGGCACACAGCGACUUGGUGUAAAGACUGUGUCUUGGGACUUACUAAUAGCAAUCAAAGACCUGGAGGACCAGCCUUUUUGGACAUGAGGUGGAGCCAGCCUGGAACUGGAGGGUGGAGUUUUGGGAGGUUUCUGUUCUUUAACCUCCACCAGCUGCCUGGAGUGCAGCUGUAAGGGGAGAAUCCAGUAGGGGGCAGAAGAGACCAGCAGUAGAGGAAGCCUGAGGAGGAACUGGCUGGAGCUCUUCAGAAGAGAAAGGCCAAGACCCAGGGGAGGGCUCUGGUGGCCGGGCAGAAGGCGGUGCAGGGGCCUGACUCUGGUUUUGCAUCCCUGUGGGUACUCACUCACCUGUGGGACUGUGGGUAGGACCAAGAACAAAACCACUGAGCCUGCAAUGAAUGUUUGUGCUGAGGACCGAGACCAGCUGUGUCAAUGUUAACUGCUGGUUCCAGGAUACUCUUUCCCAGGUGGAUGAGGGUGAAAACAAUAAAGAAUGUCACUCAUUGCUUCAGGGAAUUCCUGAAAACCAAUUAUCCAGGUGAUCCUGGCCCUCUGUCCCAAAGCCACAGACGCUGCAGGCAACUGAGUCCGCUCAGAGGAGGCCACUGAGCCUACAAGAUAGGACAGGAGAGAUUGAGCUAUAAAACCAUGACAAGUGCAUGGAGCAGCUAUUUGAGCACCAGGAAAGGAAAUGGUACGCAGCAGUUUGGGAUGGCCCCAGCAGAUGAAAUACAACAGAGUCAGUGUGAGACUGCUGGAUUUCCUCACUGUCCCCUGGCUGGGACUCCAGACAGCCCCAAACCUGAAGGGGCACAAACCUGAAAACAAAAAGAAGUCCAGAAAGCCCUCUUGUUCAGGAUCGAACUUGGGAAAGAAAACUUAUUUGGCUCAAAGUGAAGGCUCAGUCCCCUGCACAAGCAGGUGGUUCACACCUGUGUUCUCAUCUCUCUUAUACCAGCGCCUCUCCCUGGGUUCACACUGAUGUCCUAUGGAUGGAGACGGGGCUUCCUGCACCAGGUCACUCCACAGCCCCUGUAACCUGAAGCCCUGCAGACCAGCCUUGUUCAAUCACAAUGUGAUGUGAGCCUCAUGGGAAUCCCACUGUCUAGUCAUCAUGUUAUAAAUACAAAGAGAAGAAGUCAAUGAGUUUAAAUAAUGUAUUUUAUUUACCUAGCAUAUCAAAAAGAGUAUCAUUUUCAUAUAUAAUCUAAGUACAAUUAUUUAUGAUAUAUAUCAUAUACUUUGCAUGGCUAUUGUUAUUAUUUUUUGAAGAAUCUUUAUGUGGAGA
rnacentral:lncRNA from 1 species